UACGUAGGGCGCGAGCGUUGUCCGGAAUUAUUGGGCGUAAAGAGCUCGUAGGCGGCCUGUUGCGUCCGCUGUGAAAUCCCAGGGCUCAACCCUGGGCGUGCAGUGGAUACGGGCAGGCUGGAGGCAGGCAGGGGAGAACGGAAUUCCUGGUGUAGUGGUGAAAUACGUAGAUAUCUGGAGGAACACCGGCGGCGAAGGCGGCGAACUGGUCGAAUAUUGACACUCAUACACGAAAGCGUGGGGAUCAAACAGG
rnacentral:rRNA from 1 species